rnacentral:lncRNA from 1 species
AAUAUAUAUAAAGUAUAACAAAUGGAGUCUAUUUAAUGCAGUUAAAGUACAAAAUAGUUACCGAUAUCUAAAAUCUGGUGGAGUGUUGAUGUCCCUUGUAGACGCCUAAGUGAGUGAGAGGCUGAGAAGGUGAAGUGAGUGAGAGGCUGAGAAGGCGAAAGGUGAAGUGAGUGAGAGGAGGGGCGAAGUCAAGUCGAAUUGAGGUGUACUGUCCGGUUCGCCUCGGUACUCCUCCGAACUGUCCGGUUUGGAAGGGUUUGACCCUUGUUUUGAACCGAUUGGGCCUUCUCAGCCUCCCACAUCAAUCAUUUAAGAGGGGAGGGGUGAAGUGAAGUCGAAUUGAGGUGUACUGGGUACUCCUCCGAACUGUCCGGUUUGGAAGGGUUUGACCCCUGUUUUGAACCGAUCGGGCCUUCUCAGCCUCCCACAUCAAUCAUUUAAGAGGGGAGGGGUGAAGCAAGGUCGAAUUGAGGCAAACCGGUACUGCUCCAAACUGUCCGGUUUGGAGUGGUUCUACCCUUGUUUUGAACCGAUCGGGGGAACUGUCCUGGUUUACCCUAGUAUGGCUUGGUACACCCCAAAUCACCCAGUUCUGGGUAAGGAUGGUGAGCCAUGUUCAGGAUAGAUGGGAAGAUGGUAACUAUUUAUAGGAUUAGAUAAUUUGGUGAUUCCAAAGGGUAUACUCUCUGUGUUAGGUGGACUGGUUACAACUUGAAAGGCAACAUUCUUAUCUGUGACUGCCUUUGCGAUUGAGUAUAUGCUUUGUUUUGAUCAGAUGUAUGCUACUUAUCAUCAGAGCAAUUUAGUGAGGUUUAUUAUUGGAAAGGAGGUUAAGAGGCCAGGGUAGUUUAUUUAACUUCUGUUGGAUUUUUUUUGAAGAAAGAUGGAAGGUUGGAAGGUGCUAAAGUUUUUGGUAGUUUUCAGAGCAGAGAGACUAGAAUAUUAAGGUGUGGUAACUCUGGGUUUCUGUAGUAGGAUACAUUUGGGGAUUAAUAUAUGAUUGUGGUGUUUAUAAUUGGAUUUGUGGUAUUUAUGAAUGGAUUUUUAAAUGGAGAAAAAAAUGUUGGAUAAUAUAUUAUCAGUUUAACUGUUCUGCUA